rnacentral:misc_RNA from 1 species
GAUGAAGAACGCAGCUAAAUGCGAUAAGUAGUGUGAAUUGCAGAAUUCAGUGAAUCAUCGAAUCUUUGAACGCACAUUGCGCCCCUUGGUAUUCCAUGGGGCAUGCCUGUUCGAGCGUCAUUUGUACCUUCAAGCUUUGCUUGGUGUUGGGUGUUUGUCUCGCCUUUGCGUGUAGACUCGCCUUAAAAUAAUUGGCAGCCGGCGUAUUGAUUUCGGAGCGCAGUACAUCUCGCGCUUUGCACUCAUAACGACAGCGUCCAAAAGUACAUUUUACACUCUUGACCUCGGAUCAGGUAGGGAUACCCGCUGAACUUAAGCAUAUCAAUAAGCGGAGGA